GGGGUUGACCGGUUUUGACAGCGGGUAGAAGUGGUUUGUAAGCAUGCAGUGCGUCGUUGUCCGGCACUUUAAUCACGGAUGAUAAAAAUUAAUUGGCGAAAACACUUACGCUCUCGCUGCUUGAUUGAAGUAUAGUAGAUCUUAAGCUUUAUUCCUGUUCAAGGAACAGGAACGAGACAUCACCCGGAGCUGUGGCUUCGAAGCGAUCCGAACCGGUGGUGCAGUUAUAUCGGAGAUAGUCCGCGGGAAGUUCCGGCCGGCGGAUGAAAAAAAGGAACUAAGCUCAACAAACAGGUAGCUUCAGCCGGAGGUUGAGUCGAAAACCGAAACGAAGAUAAGCAUGUAGAAAGCAAAUUAAUUCCUCGUUUGGACGAGGGUUCGAGUCCCUCCAACUCCACAA
rnacentral:tmRNA from 1 species